UACGUAGGGGGCAAGCGUUGUCCGGAAUCAUUGGGCGUAAAGGGCGCGUAGGCGGACUUGCAAGUCUGUGGUGAAAGCCCCCCAGCUCAACUGGGGAAGUGCCGUGGAUACUGUGAGUCUGGAGGAGGGUAGGGGCAUCUGGAACGCUGGGUGGAGCGGUGAAAUGCGUUGAUAUCCAGCGGAACUCCGGUGGCGAAGGCGGAGGUGCUGGACCCUUUCUGACGCUGAUGCGCGAAAGCCAGGG
rnacentral:rRNA from 1 species